UGAACAAUGUUGGUGGCCUUUUGUUUUCUGUGAUUUGAGUUUGUUGUUUUGGUGAUAUAAUCAAAAGUUUAAAAUUUUCAUCUCAUGUUCUUCCCUUUUGUAAUAGAUAUGAAGAUUUGAUUAGUGGUGAUGAAAUUUCUUUGGGAACAACAUGCAGGCAAAUGAAGGCAGAGUAAGGUGUAACUCUUAAUGAUUUUGGUUCCAUGGUUUGGGUCUACCUGGACUACAAAAUUGAGGGUAGCAUUUCCUACGAAGUUGUAGGUAUCUGGUCACAUUGAUAUAGGGAGCAACAAACUUUGCUUUGCUGAUGGUGGUGAGUCCUCACGCUGUUUUUAUCUUGCGGUCAUAUACCAUAAAGUGAAUACCCUAUCUAUUUAUAGGUUUUAGAAUUUA